rnacentral:lncRNA from 1 species
GGGGGAGCUCCGGGGAUCUUGGGGCAAUGGCGCGGGGUCCUGACCUCCCUCUCUCGCGGGCGGGACAGCUGACCCUCGGCUACCUGCUCUGUUUAAGUAACUGUAAAACCUUGCGCUGCCAUCUUAGUGCUUCGGAAAGGACUUAGCAUGUCCUUGUGGGGAGUUGACCUUCAUACAGAUGCCUUUAUCUCAGCCUUGGCAAGGUUCUGCUAGGGCAUCAUAGCGGUUUGCUCGCUCGCUUGCUUGUUUUUAGCAUGCCCUCUACAAAGUGCAUUAUCAAAUGUUUUGAGAAGUUGUAUUUGACACCUUCCCUCCUAAUAACUGGGUGAGUGAAGACUUUGGUUUUGAGCCUUCAGAACAUACGAUGUGAUGUAAAACUGAAGCGUUUAGAAGGGCUUAUUAGACUCCAGGCACCGUGAUUCAGCAAAUAUUGCCCAAUAAAGCUAAGGCCGAUGACUACCUUUAAA